rnacentral:tRNA from 1 species
GGUGGCUCAGUGGUAGAGUGCUUGCCUUGCAUGCAUGAGGCCCUAGGUUUGAUUCCUUAACACCA